GAACGAUGUGGAAGGGAUAUAAGUAUCCCCCGGGAGGGAACCCGGUGGAAAUAUGCAAAGAUGAUCCUGGUGAAGUAAUGCAGCUCUGAAGCUAACCUGACCAGCUGUACAGUUCCUGUUGUUGGUUUCGCAUAAAGCAAUUGCACAUUAUUUUGUCAUA